rnacentral:rRNA from 1 species
UACGUAGGCAGCGAGCGUUGUUCGGAGUUACUGGGCGUAAAGAGUGCGUAGGCGGUUUUCUAAGUUUGGUGUGAAAUCUCGGGGCUUAACUCCGAAACUGCAUUCGAUACUGCCGUGCUUGAGGACUGGAGAGGAGACUGGAAUUUACGGUGUAGCGGUGAAAUGCGUAGAUAUCGUAAGGAAGACCAGUGGCGAAGGCGGGUCUCUGGACAGUUCCUGACGCUGAGGCACGAAGGCCAGGGGAGCAAACGGG